AUUGAACGCUGGCGGCAGGCCUAACACAUGCAAGUCGAACGAGUGGCGGACGGGUGAGUAAUGUCUGGGAAACUGCCCGAUGGAGGGGGAUAACUACUGGAAACGGUAGCUAAUACCGCAUACCAUCGGAUGUGCCCAGAUGGGAUUAGCUUGUAGGUGAGGUAACGGCUCACCUAGGCGACGAUCCCUAGCUGGUCUUAGAGGAUGACCAGCCACACUGGAACUGGGACACGGGCCAGACUCCUACGGGAGGCAGCAGGGGGGUAGAUUGCACAAUGGGCGAAAUCCUGAUGCAGCCAUGCCGCGUGUAUGAAGAAGGCCUUCGGGUUGUAAAGUACUUGCAGCGGGGAGGCGUUACCCGCAGAAGAAGCACCGGCUAACUCCGUGCCAGCAGUCGCGGUAAUUC
rnacentral:rRNA from 1 species